GGGUUGUAAACUUCUUUUAUACGGGAAUAAAGUGAGGCACGUGUGCCUUUUUGUAUGUACCGUAUGAAUAAGGAUCGGCUAACUCCGUGCCAGCAGCCGCGGUAAUACGGAGGAUCCGAGCGUUAUCCGGAUUUAUUGGGUUUAAAGGGAGCGUAGGCGGACGCUUAAGUCAGUUGUGAAAGUUUGCGGCUCAACCGUAAAAUUGCAGUUGAUACUGGGUGUCUUGAGUACAGUAGAGGCAGGCGGAAUUCGUGGUGUAGCGGUGAAAUGCUUAGAUAUCACGAAGAACUCCGAUUGCGAAGGCAGCUUGCUGGACUGUAACUGACGCUGAUGCUCGAAAGUGUGGGUAUCAAACAGGAUUAGAUACCCUGGUAGUCCCACACAGUAAACGAUGAAUACUCGCUGUUUGCGAUAUACAGUAAGCGGCCAAGCGAAAGCGUUAAGUAUUCCACCUGGGGAGUA
rnacentral:rRNA from 1 species